CAGAGGAGAUAGUUUAUUGUCGCCAGUAGACCCAAACAAUAAGACAAAUUGCAAAAGAAACUCAGUCUGCUCCCAAAAGCAGAUACAUCCCAGCAGUCGAGUCACAGAGGGCCAUCUCAGUUUCUCUCCCCUUCCAACCACCCCUUCCAACCUCUCUAUAGCACACACAACCGAGAAAGUGCAUAUGUAGUUGGGUUUUCCCCUCCAAGUGCACAAAGCGCAAGAACAUUCCAAAAUUUGCCUUUGGUGAAUCAACUCAAAACACUGAGAAGUUAUUACACCUCCCCACACACACACAUUGUAACUUUUGGGGUGGGUGUGGUGAGAUGUUUGAUAUUUGUAUAUAUAAUAUAUCUAUACCUAGAGAGAGAGACUAUGUACAGUGCAUCAGCAAGCUUCAAUAAAGGAAGACGCCAGCAAGAGGCACAGCAAGAGACACAGGCUGUCCAUCUUUAAGACAUAAGUAGGAAGGAAGAUUUCUUGCUUCAUCACCCAUUAACUGCACCAAGCCAUUCCUAUGGCCUGGAACUAUCCUUUUGGACCUGCCCAGUAUUUUCAAUUGUCUGUCUGCUUAACCUGACCUUGCAAAUAUUUACCAGCCCAACCUCCCCAAGGAGACUCGCAGAGAGAAACAUGGAUCCGAUCAGCUUUUCCUUUUUAUAAACUGGAAAUAACUGUGAAGAGUCCAUAGCUAGGGGGCAGAUAGCUAUUUCCAAAGCCAGUUCCAAGGCACCUCAAAGCAGUUCAGUCCUGAAUAAUUGUGCUUUGUUCUUAUAAGCUAAAUCCCAUGGGUUAGCCAGCCCGUCUCUCUUUGCAGUGGCCCUUAGUUAGGAGGAAGAGACAGAUGGGGGGUGGGGGCAGAGGGAGGUUCUGAGAGAGCAGGAGAGGCUGGGGCAGUUGAGAAAGUCAGCCGACUAAAACCAGCAGAGCGUCGUGGUGGGAACAUGCAACCAGAAGUGGGGCUCGAACCCCACGGUAGGAAGAGGAAGAACUUGUCAGCAUAAGGUAGGAAACAGGGUAGAGAAAUGGCCGCUGUGGAAACAUCUCUCUGGUUUUCCACCUCUACUUACAGAAGCCCCAACUUCACCAUCCUGGGGGAGGCAGCUCUAUGAGUCCUCUGGAGGAGAUUCUAAGAGGCUCCAGAAGAAAAUGCAUAUGAGGGCUGAGCACCUGGGACAGAGAUGGUUCCUGACCCAGCCCCAUCUGCUGGGGCCCUGAGGCCCGUGAAGAGACAUUGCUUUUCCUGGGCCCCAGUUGAUCAGGGCAGAGGAAAAAAAGACUCCAGGAAUCUUGGGCUUCUUGAUGGAGAGUUAGAACUUCUUAGAAUACACUAGGAAAGCCCGCAAAUAAUUCCCCUAAAUGUUAUGGAUCCUGGAAAAAGCUAAGUUCCCAACAUCAGCACAGCUCCUCACUCAUCCUGGGAGAGAAGGACACUUAAAGGGUGACCAAAAAAAUGAAAUCUGCAAGCUGCAGAAAUGUAUACAACCACUCUUGGUCUCAGCUGGCAUGAGGUGCCCGCCACCCACCUCUCUGCCCCCAGCUGGCUGGCUCGAGGAUGGGCAGCGUCCAUCUGCUGCAGGCAUCCUGGUGGCUUAGCCCACCCGCAUUGGCAGUGUGUUGAUUGGCAGUUAGGUACUGAGCUGAUGAGUUUAGCAUUUCCAGAUGGGCUUGACUCGCUCACCUCACCCAGGUGUUACCAGGCUGGUUGCCCAUCCCCCACUCUGCACCCACUCUGCCUGGCCUCUGCACCCUUGACCCUGUUGUAUUGCCCCUCUUCCCUGCUGUUUCUCCCUUCCCAGGGCACAGAUUCUAGAAUCUCUUCAUCUUCCCCAACUGUAGCCUUGGAAGCAGUGUCUUGCAGAGGUGGAAUUAGUUGCACCAAAAAGUUAAUCUUGGUCCCUACAGUGCCAACCUGGCAGUCCCCAGUGCUUAUGGCUUUGGCACGGAUUCUAGAAUCUCUUCAUCUUCCCCAACUGUAGCCUUGGAAGCAGUGUCUUGCAGAGGUGGAAUUAGUUGCACCAAAAAGUUAAUCUUGGUCCCUACAGUGCCAACCUGGCAGUCCCCAGUGCUUAUGGCUUUGUGUAUAUCCCCAGUGCCCGGCACAGUGCCUGGCACAUAAUAGAUGCUCAAUAAAUGGUUGCUGAAUUGAAGCAAAUUAAGCUGAAUCUCCCAGAUGAUAUUGCUGUCUCCCCAAAUUGGCAAUCUGAUGGGCAGAGGCAGGGAUUGGUCCCUGAGACUGUCACGGUCCUGUCUCCACCCCCUUUCCUAGACUUAUUCCCUACCCUGGGCACCUGACUCCCUGAGCAGGGGUGGGGCAGAGCUCCUGGAAAGGCUGGGAAGUGCUGGGGCAGGGAAUGGGGCAUUUGCCAGCAGCUGUGCCCUUCACACUUGCUCCCUCCCUCCCUGCUUCCCUCCACUCCUCCUCAGUCCUGGCCAGAGGGGCUGGGCUCCUGGGAGAGGGGCAGGGCUAGAGAAGCCCACCCCUCCAACUCGCCCCAUCAUGGACCAGGCCACAGAGGCCCCUCCCACUGGGAAAAUGAUGGCUCUGUUGCUUCAAACUGGAGACCGAGGAGCCAGAGAAGAGGGCAGGACCCUCAGUUUCUGUCAGUUGGAACCUCAGUUUCCCCAUUUUAAGUGAGUGACUUGGCUAGUUGAUCUCUGAGGAUCUUCCAAGGUCAUGGUCUCAGAGUCAGUGUUUCUGCCUCUUGCUCCUUCUCUCAGGCCUAAUCAAUUUCCAUUGAAUGUGAGUGUAAUGGCAGUGAUGGUUGGCUCCCCACAAUUGCCUUUUUUUUUUUUUUUUUUUUAGAGAUGGAGUCUCUCUAUGUCACCCAGGCUGAAUUGCAGUGGCACUAUCACUAUCUCAGUUCACUGCAACCUCCGCUUCCCGGGCUCAAGCGAUUCUCCUGCCUCAGCCUCCCAAAUAGCUGGGAUUACAGGCACACGCCACCACACCCAGCUAAUUCUUGUAUUUUUAGUAGAGAUGGGGUUUUGCCCAUUUCUACUAAACAGAUGGAGGUAAUCCACCCGCCUUGGCCUCCCAAAGUGCUGGGAUUACAGGCGUGAGCCACUGUGCCUGGCCUACAAUUGUCACUUUUAUCCCCACGAAGGGAGUUGUUGGGAGAGGAGCAAGUAGCGUGGCCGCAGAUGGGACAGGGCUGGCAUUGGCGGCUCAGGUUCCAAGGCCUCCCCUCAUGCUGGCCUCAGGCUUUCCCUUCCCUCUCUGUAGCCAAAAGCCAGGUGGAAACCCCACCAAGGGCAACUGGGAGAGUUCUCACUGAAGCCCCAAAGAAAGCUGCCCCACCCUGUGCAUGGCCUCCUCAUUUCCCAGCCUUGGCUGCCCCUGCCCAGGCGAGGGUGGUUACCCCAUGGAGAAGGCAGAGCCUGCAGCAACCUGCAUUCACCAUGGAGCCCCACCCCUCAGCCCCUCAGCUGACUUUGAAACUGGCCUCUGUUGGUGGGUCCCCGCUGGGAAACAUGGCCCCCUACCUGGAGCUGCUCUUCCAGUCUGGCCUCAUCCACAGUCCUAAGGGAUUAGGAGCCAACGGGAGCCCCAAGGAGGCCACUAGCAAUGGAAAUGAGGGCCCAACAUGGCCUCCUGGGCCAGGGCACAUGUCCAGCUCUGCCUGCAGCCCUGGCUUUCCGUCAGUGCCCUGGAAUGCACAGUCAUCCCCUUUAACAUGCCCCUCCAAGUUUCAGGAACUCAUCC
rnacentral:lncRNA from 1 species